UGGGGAAUAUUGGACAAUGGGGGGAACCCUGAUCCAGCCAUGCCGCGUGUGUGAAGAAGGCCUCAUGGUUGUAAAGCACUUUAAGCGAGGAGGAGGGUACUGGUAUUAAUACUACUAGCUACUGGACGUUACUCGCAGAAUAAGCACUGGCUAACUCUGUGCCAGCAGCCGCGGUAAUACAGAGGGUGCGAGCGUUAAUCGGAUUUACUGGGCGUAAAGCGUGCGUAGGCGGCUAAUUGAGUCGGAUGUGAAAUCCCCGAGCUUAACUUGGGAAUUGCAUUCGAUACUGGUUAGCUAGAGUGUGGGAGAGGAUGGUAGAAUUCCAGGUGUAGCGGUGAAAUGCGUAGAGAUCUGGAGGAAUACCGAUGGCGAAGGCAGCCAUCUGGCCUAACACUGACGCUGAGGUACGAAAGCAUGGGGAGCAAACAGG
rnacentral:rRNA from 1 species